ensembl:lncRNA
AAACUACUGAAGUUAUCUGAACAGCAAAAAGGAUGGGGGGGAAGAAGGAACAUAAUAGCGAACCAGAGACAUUAAAAGUGGUUAAAGAUAACAUAAUAAGUAAUGUAAUCAAGCAGUAGGAGUAAAUGAGGCUUCAAGAGUAGAAAAACGUUUGUAGAAAAGAUAGUAGAGUCUAAAAUCAGUUAGUUUUUAUUGAAAGGUUUUAUUACCUUGUGCUGUGUGGAGUUUCACUCUGCUUAUCCCAAUGGAGGCUCUGAUCCUCAGAAAUACACAUAAUAUCCAAAAAAACGGGGCAAAUAGCAAAGAACUCUUGAAAAAGGAAAGUUAAGCCCAAAAAUAAUGGUUAAAGCGUUCAAUGCAGAAAAACUCUACAGCUAAUAACUUGUAAUUAUCUAAAUAUUAUUAAUAUUAUUAUUGAAUUAUUUAAAUAAUAAAGAGAAGUAGUAGCUUCUGUUAUAAAAGCAUGUUAUUCAAUUGACUCAUUCCAGCUGGAAAAAACUAUUUUUUUUUAAUUAAGUUUCAGGAAAUAUCUAGAACUUUAAAGAAAACUUCUCAAACUAUUUGAGGAGACAGGCACAUAAAGGGAAAACAAAACAUUAAUUUCCUGUCACUUGAGGCUUUAUAUGCAUCUUUUUUUAUCUCAAUCCAACGUCAUUAUAGGUUUUUUAAUAUUUAAUGUGAAGUAUUUGACCUAGGCAGAAACAAGAAGUGGAUUUUCUGCAUAGAGCAUUCAGAAUGACCGUCAAAUUACAACUAAUGGCGGUGCUGAGGUUUAUUAAAACUCCUGUGGUUCACUUAGCCAAAGAGCUUUCUGGCUCCACCAGGAAUGACAUAUUGUCACUACUGUUAACAUUUUCAAAGAUUAAAUUAAAAAGGUAUUUAGUAUAAAGCAACUGACGUAUACAGAGAAAGGUCAAAAUAUUCCUAGGCAGGAACAGUAAAAAAAAACCUAUCUUUUGAUUGUCAUUUUCCAUCACACAACAGACAUGCCGACAAGGAUUUCAGUGCAUCCCGGUGGAGGAUCACUAGUUCUAUUUUACCUCCACGUGAUGGCUCUUGCCAUGGUGUCUGCUUCUACACAGCUGUAAGCACUGCUGGAAUGGAACCAACCUGUCGGUGAUCGUCUAGCUAUGCACAGCUUGUCCCAGAGGCUGUCACUUGAAUAGCACCUGAAAUUUCAGUCUUCACCUCAGAAAUUAUUUAUUGUGAAGACUACAUGCAUUAAAAUCUUAAGAGAGCUAGAUUUCUCCUUUAUCUUCCCACAGAAUAUCAUAUUACCAGCAGGGUUUGUGUCUUAUGCUUGCAUAUGCUCUUGCACCCUCCAGACACGUCCACAGAGGAAAGGCUUCCCAUGUUCUGAGCUGAACACUUUUUAAACCCUGGUUUUCCUCCCAAAAGUUCCAGUAUGAUUAAAAAUAAAUGUUGUGAAACAGAUUUAUGCUGGUGUAAAAUCAGAGGCAGCAUGGAUUAGCUGAUCUUUUAGGAAUGAAUUUUCUCACUCCCAAUCUAAAAGAUUGAAGAGCGAACAAGGUUGAAGUGGAAUAUGAUCACUGGCAAUAAACAAUAGGAAUCGAUACUAUAGCAGAAAUGUCUUCCAAAAGUAGUGCAGCAGAUUGCCAAGGUUUCCCCCACUCCCCAAACUGAUUAAUUGCUGUAGAGUAUGGACACAGUCAACGCUGCAAACGAGAGGAAUAAAUUAUAGGAUUGAGCUGGGGGUGGUGAACUCUGGUCCUCUGAUACAUCAAAGGACAGUUCCCUUCCCUGGCGUUCCUCACAACAUGAUGGCAGCCACCAUUUGCCUCUUUGAUUUUACAGUUAAAAUGCACAUACUUUGUUUAAAGGAAACAGAAAAGCCAAGACUGGAAUUUGGACAGGACAGCUAUGAACACAAGUUUUCCUCUCAGAAAAAGAAAGAAAUGGUGUCAGGGAGGAAUGGAUUUGGCAUGAAAGCUAAAAUCCUGAAAGAUACGCAUUGCAGACCAUCCACUGGAAAAGUGUCCCCUGAUGAAAAAGGUCUUUCUCUGUUGCUUUACAACUUACACAGACCUGGGAAUCAACGGGGAUAUAGUUACCUCCUUGGCUUUAUUUUAACAGCUCACACUAUGAUGAAAGUCCUGCUCCACAAGAGCAGUUAAUUUGGAAUCAUUAGAGCCAGUGUAAACUUUCAGAGCUUAAUACAGCCUUUUUUCUUUUUUUUUGUACAUUAAGUUUUAAAAAAAUAGAAGUAAAAAUGUGAAAUGUUCCCAGGAUGAGAUCUUGCCUGCCAAGAUCUACAUAGAUCAAUUUUUUUUUUUUUCUGGGCAAGUUACAAUUCCUUUUAAAUUGUUUGCUUAAUGGAAAUAAAAAU